GUGCUUGCUUUGGCAGCACAUAUACUAAAAUUGGAAUGAUAUAGAGAAGAUUAGCAUGGCCCCUAAAAAAAAAAAGGAUGAAUGCAGCAAGAACUUCAAAAAAGAGAU